UUACAUCGUUUUGCUAACACCGGCUGUGCUUCAUUUAUUAUCAACAACAGUAAGUAUAUUAGUUUAUAAAAACAAACAAAAAAGCUUCAUAGCAAUUUUUGUGUCAGCAUUAGUAGUAUGUACAGUAGCUGUCAAUAUUUUAUUAUACUUGAUAUUUUCAGAAUUGUAAUCCGAUGCAACAAAUUGAUCCACUAGCUUAAACCAGUCCAAAAUAAACCAAUUGUUUAUACCAAAAACUGAUUAAAAUCCGAUCGACUUUUAGAAACGACAUGAAAUGACGCUGAACAUAUUUAUCCUAACACAUUACAUACUCUAAUCAUUCAUCAUUUUUAUACGGCUAAUGUCGUAAUUUUGGCUGAUUUUUACUAUGCACUGCACUACUUAUUUACUUUGUUCUAAUAUUGUAGUAGUGUCUUCAUUUUUAGACACCAUGUUUUGUUAACUGUGAGGUUAACAAAUCGACGAUUCCCAGCAGUCCUACAAAUGUGAGAUCUGCUUCAAACGUGAAUUAAAAGUACUUCUCGUCUUUAAGUGGAUUUGGAAAAUUCAAAGAAUAGAAUAGAAAAGUAAUGAAGACAAUCAGGAGGCGGAUAAUAUCAGAAACAUUAAAAAAAAUAUUCGAAAAGUUUUUAUAAGCUGAUAAAGAAAGGGGCAUGUUUUCACUGGAGUCGGAGCAGGAGUCGUAUUUUCUAAAUUCCCCAGAGUCGUAGUUUUGUUACAAAAAUUCGAAUAUUUUGGAUUUCUUAGCUGGGGUGGGAGUCAAAAUUUUUACGACCCGGAGUCGGUCUUGAAUAUGAUUUGAGUCCGGAAAUCGUCCGGCGGAGUCGAUUUCAAUUUUCUCAGGCUCUACAGCCCCGUGAAAGUGAAAAAAACAAUGACCUCAUCCUUUUAGGAACUAGAAGAAAGACUUCGGCAUAUGGAUGAAGAGCUCGGAAUAUCUAAAAUGAAGCUUGAACGAUCAAAUUCAGGAAACAUCCUAAAACAUCAUCAGACCAAUAUUGGUGACAGACUGACAGCAGCAACAGGGAAUGCCGAAACGCCAAGAAAUGUUUUUAGCCAUAACUACUGGGACGCCAACCCACGUGCAUUUGAAUAUUUGUGUGUUUUGAUUUUUUUAUAUGCACAUAUUUCGCUCUAAUGUAGCAUAAAUAUAUAUAUAUACAUAAUAUUUAAAUUUGAUAUCCUUCAUUCCGGUGACGUUUUGUAAUUACGUACUCGUUGAAUCAGUGUUUUAGCUGGGUUGAUUGGCCUGACAGGUAUAUAUAUUGACUUUUGAACUAUCGGAAGUUGUAUCAGUGAUUGCACUCGGGUAAUCUCACCUUUGAAUGUGUUUCAAGUCCGAUAAAUGAAAGUCGAAAAUAAUGCAAGUGGAACGUUGAAUCAGCGAUCAGUUGAAAGAUGAAGUUAUAAACAACUGUCUUGAGUCACUUGUCUUUGUACUUUUUGGCGUCAUCUACAUAUUUACAAAAAUAGAUUUUACCUUAUUUACAUUACACAGUAUCGUGUGACUUUAAAUCGCUGUAAAUUAGUGACUUUGCGCCUGCAUGUUCUGCAUGAAUUGGCUAUUUGUAGUAUUGCAACUUACUGUAAUUACCUGGUUUCGUGACCUUUUAAUCUGGAUACAUUUUAUUCAUUUUUUCUCUCUCUUCAUGUAUAAAUUCGUCCCUAGCCUUCAGGAACCAUGCAUCAGCACAGUGCCGGUACCGGCCUCAAGCUUUGCAACUCAGCUCAGCUUGCGUUAUCCGGCCCCAGUUAUAUUACUGUAUCUGUGCUUUAGUUGUCAUGGUAAUCUGAUAGUCGGCGUUUGCUACUAGUGAGUUCGGGAAUAUCCGGCUUUUUCAAACAUAUUUAUGCCACAGACCAUGUUAGUAUUUCGGCGUUCCGAUCCUGUUCUUUAUAAUUUAAUGUUAGAUUUUUCACGUUGACUUUUUACUUUUAUAUGACCUAAUGUUAGACUUUUCAUAGGUGUCGCUGCUCGAUAGCCAAUACUGGUUUAUUUCUUUGACUUGUUUCUCUAAAUAUUUGAUCUCCGUCUUUAUUUUUCCUUUGGACCGACGUGGUCGAUUUUUUUCUAUUUCCAUUCCUUGUUUUCAUUUUCCUUACAAGAAGCUCUCUACUACUUUUCACCUCUGCAACUAACUGAUGUCUGUUUCUUUUCCUUGACUGCUUUGAGCAUUGCUGAUUUUUCAAAAUUUUCAUCUUGAUAUUAAUUUUCCUUGUGCUUGCUUGCUGGUCAUAUGUAUUUUUAUUUUUCUUAUCAAUAUUAUUUUUAAGACUCAGUCCAAUAUUAAAAUAAUGUUUUGUACAAUGAUCGUACAUCCGUUCUUUUAAUAUAUAUAGUAUCUGAAAUACUUGAUUAACAAACUUUAUUUUCAAGUUUAACAUUGCCACGAGAAAACCUCACUUAUAGUCAGUACAGUUCUACAGUCCCUUUUUUUGGUUAUACGACAAUUUAGAGCAAUAUAACGAAAAUUUGGACCUCCUGGAGUAUGCGCCAAGAUGGCGCACAACCUGAACUCAGGCUGUGCACCAGGUUAAGUAUCGAAAAUUGGAUGUUUCAAAACUGUCUUGCUCCACUUAUCUAAGCCUUGUCUCAUUGUAUGAAUCUCCUUUCACAUAAAUGAUCUUUUG